ACGUCAGUCACGAACAGGACGCAGUUUCCGGUGCGCCAUUUUAAGCUGUCUGGCGCAAGUUCCACUGGGAAGAUGGCGGGUGAAACUGGUUGAUUUUUUGCGGUUUGCCAAAUUUGAGUUUUAUGCCGAUAUCCGAAAGCCGUCGCUGCUGUUAAUUGUGCUAAAAGCUCGGCGGUGUGUUGAAGCGCCGCGGGCGAGGAGGCGAUGUCUGCCGAAGUUCUCAGACCUGGGCCGGUGGCCGGUGGAGGCAGUAAGCUAGGAGAGCUGAUCGGGAAGCUCCAUGAGUAUUUGGCAGCAGCCACGGAAGACAAGACUGAAGCUACUUUACCUGGACACUGGAAUGGAACCACGGCCAAAGAAUACUUGGAGCAGCAGGCUUGUGCCCAGGUAGAGAUUGUUUAGAGUGUGGCAGAAAUGACAUUUUUGUUGUCCAACCCAGAAGUUGGCAUCACCCUGGUUCCUUUGACCAAAAGCCAAUAGGAUGUUUCCACUGGGUUCUGAAUAACUGCAGAAAAUAAGCUUUGUGACAAACAAAACCUUUUGCUCAUCAAGAUAAUCUUCACAAAUGAACAACUUUUAUGAAUUUUGAAGCCUAAAUGUAAAUGGCAGAAGUAAAAAUAACUAAAAACUAAAACAAUUUAUAGGCAC
rnacentral:lncRNA from 1 species